UACAGAGGUCUCAAGCGUUGUUCGGAUUCAUUGGGCGUAAAGGGUGCGUAGGUGGCGCCGUAAGUCGGGUGUGAAAUUUCGGAGCUUAACUCCGAAACUGCAUUCGAUACUGCGGUGCUUGAGGACUGGAGAGGAGACUGGAAUUCAGGGUGUAGCAGUGAAAUGCGUAGAGAUCAUGAGGAAGACCAGUGGCGAAGGCGGGUCCCUGGACAGUUCCUGACACGUGAGACACUGAAGGCCAGGGGAGCAA
rnacentral:rRNA from 1 species